rnacentral:rRNA from 1 species
UUAAGUGACUAAGCGUACACGGUGGAUGCCUAGGCAGUCAGAGGCGAUGAAGGGCGUGCUAAUCUGCGAAAAGCGUCGGUAAGGUGAUAUGAACCGUUAUAACCGGCGAUACCCGAAUGGGGAAACCCAGUGUGUUUCGACACACUAUCAUGUCAUGAAUACAUAGUGGCAUGAGGCGAACCGGGGGAACUGAAACAUCUAAGUACCCCGAGGAAAAGAAAUCAACCGAGAUUCCCCCAGUAGCGGCGAGCGAACGGGGAGGAGCCCAGAACCUGAAUCGGCUUGUGUGUUAGUGGAAGCGUCUGGAAAGUCGCGCAGCAAAGGGUGAUAGCCCCGUACACUAAAAUGCACAGGUCGUGAGUUCGAUGAGUAGGGCGGGACACGUGACAUCCUGUCUGAAUAUGGGGGGACCAUCCUCCAAGGCUAAAUACUCCUGACUGACCGAUAGUGAACCAGUACCGUGAGGGAAAGGCGAAAAGAACCCCGGCGAGGGGAGUGAAAUAGAACCUGAAACCGUGUACGUACAAGCAGUGGGAGCACCUUCGUGGUGUGACUGCGUACCUUUUGUAUAAUGGGUCAGCGACUUAUAUUUUGUAGCAAGGUUAACCGUAUAGGGGAGCCGUAGGGAAACCGAGUCUUAACUGGGCGAAUAGUUGCAAGGUAUAGACCCGAAACCCGGUGAUCUAGCCAUGGGCAGGUUGAAGGUUGGGUAACACUAACUGGAGGACCGAACCGACUAAUGUUGAAAAAUUAGCGGAUGACUUGUGGCUGGGGGUGAAAGGCCAAUCAAACCGGGAGAUAGCUGGUUCUCCCCGAAAGCUAUUUAGGUAGCGCCUCGUGAACUCAUCUUCGGGGGUAGAGCACUGUUUCGGCUAGGGGGCCAUCCCGGCUUACCAAACCGAUGCAAACUCCGAAUACCGAAGAAUGUUAUCACGGGAGACACACGGCGGGUGCUAACGUCCGUCGUGAAGAGGGAAACAACCCAGACCGCCAGCUAAGGUCCCAAAGUCAUGGUUAAGUGGGAAACGAUGUGGGAAGGCACAGACAGCCAGGAUGUUGGCUUAGAAGCAGCCAUCAUUUAAAGAAAGCGUAAUAGCUCACUGGUCGAGUCGGCCUGCGCGGAAGAUGUAACGGGGCUAAACCAUGCACCGAAGCUGCGGCAGCGACGCUUAGGCGUUGUUGGGUAGGGGAGCGUUCUGUAAGCCGUUGAAGGUGGCCUGUGAGGGUUGCUGGAGGUAUCAGAAGUGCGAAUGCUGACAUAAGUAACGAUAAAGCGGGUGAAAAGCCCGCUCGCCGGAAGACCAAGGGUUCCUGUCCAACGUUAAUCGGGGCAGGGUGAGUCGACCCCUAAGGCGAGGCUGAAAAGCGUAGUCGAUGGGAAACAGGUUAAUAUUCCUGUACUUGGUGUUACUGCGAAGGGGGGACGGAGAAGGCUAGGCUGGCCGGGCGACGGUUGUCCCGGUUUAAGCGUGUAGGGGGUGUGACCUGGUAAAUCCGGUUGCAUAUCAACCCUGAGGCGUGAUGACGAUGCACUACGGUGCAGAAGUAGUUGAUGCCCUGCUUCCAGGAAAAUCCUCUAAGCUCCAGGUAACAUUAAAUCGUACCCCAAACCGACACAGGUGGUCAGGUAGAGAAUACCAAGGCGCUUGAGAGAACUCGGGUGAAGGAACUAGGCAAAAUGGUGCCGUAACUUCGGGAGAAGGCACGCUGGCAUGUAGGUGAAGUCCCUUGCGGAUGGAGCUGAAGCCAGUCGAAGAUACCAGCUGGCUGCAACUGUUUAAUAAAAACACAGCACUGUGCAAACACGAAAGUGGACGUAUACGGUGUGACGCCUGCCCGGUGCUGGAAGGUUAAUUGAUGGGGUCAGCCGCAAGGCGAAGCUCUUGAUCGAAGCCCCAGUAAACGGCGGCCGUAACUAUAACGGUCCUAAGGUAGCGAAAUUCCUUGUCGGGUAAGUUCCGACCUGCACGAAUGGCGUAAUGAUGGCCAGGCUGUCUCCACCCGAGACUCAGUGAAAUUGAACUCGCUGUGAAGAUGCAGUGUACCCGCGGCAAGACGGAAAGACCCCGUGAACCUUUACUAUAGCUUGACACUGAACAUUGAGCCUUGAUGUGUAGGAUAGGUGGGAGGCUUUGAAGCGUGGACGCCAGUCUGCGUGGAGCCAUCCUUGAAAUACCACCCUUUAAUGUUUGAUGUUCUAACUCGGCCCCGUGAUCCGGGGUGAGGACAGUGUCUGGUGGGUAGUUUGACUGGGGCGGUCUCCUCCCAAAGAGUAACGGAGGAGCACGAAGGUUAGCUAAUCACGGUCGGACAUCGUGAGGUUAGUGCAAAGGCAUAAGCUAGCUUGACUGCGAGAGUGACGGCUCGAGCAGGUACGAAAGUAGGUCUUAGUGAUCCGGUGGUUCUGAAUGGAAGGGCCAUCGCUCAACGGAUAAAAGGUACUCCGGGGAUAACAGGCUGAUACCGCCCAAGAGUUCAUAUCGACGGCGGUGUUUGGCACCUCGAUGUCGGCUCAUCACAUCCUGGGGCUGAAGUAGGUCCCAAGGGUAUGGCUGUUCGCCAUUUAAAGUGGUACGCGAGCUGGGUUUAGAACGUCGUGAGACAGUUCGGUCCCUAUCUGCCGUGGGCGUUGGAAGAUUGAGAGGGGUUGCUCCUAGUACGAGAGGACCGGAGUGAACGCACCACUGGUGUUCGGGUUGUCAUGCCAAUGGCAUUGCCCGGUAGCUAAGUGCGGAAAAGAUAAGCGCUGAAAGCAUCUAAGCGCGAAACUUGCCUCAAGAUGAGUCUUCCCUGGGCCUUUAAGGCCCCUGAAGGAACGUUUAAGACUAAGACGUUGAUAGGCUGGGUGUGUAAGUGCAGCGAUGCAUUGAGCUAACCAGUACUAAUGAUCCGUGAGGCUUAACCUU